UAUCUUAACUUUUCUAUAUCAAUAUGAAAUGAUUAUAGAAAAAAAAUCAACAUGAACAUCAUUUUGUUUCUACUGCAGAAUUAUUAGGUUCGGGUAAUGACUUGUCUAUUAUGCUUGAUCACCAAUUCUUUGCUGUAUAGGUCCCCAAUGGUAAUCCCCCUUAGCUUGAACAACAAUGUGGCUUGAAUGAGGACUUCAGGGUAUAGCAAUGAGGAGAAGUGGCAUAUGCGGGCUUGUGAUUCGGAGGUGCAGAUGCGCAGUCGCUGUGCUGGCAGUGAAGUGCCCUUGUCCUGUGUGCUCUCUGUGAGUCUGGUUUUGAGAAGCAUAAGGCUCUUCACACUGGUUGAAAUUGCUCUGGGGUCAGUCUCUUUAUCCUUCUUGGGAGAGGGAACCUGGAUCCUGCUGUCCUCACUAUUGACCAUAAUAUAGUUCCAUUCCUUUGGUUUAAAGACCAUAAUUCUCGUUGUUUACUUGUUCAGCUUCUUUCCGGUCUGCAAGGGUGUAAUGACAGGUAAAGGUAUAUGGCUGGUAUGUCUAAAAGGCUGGAUGCUAAUUUUUGGGACAGUAAUAGGUAUAAAUAGAUGAAUUUCUACUGAGGGGUGCAAAUUUAUUUGAUUUUUCUGUGUCGAAUGGGGAUAUCACUAAGGAAGUAAUUGUCUUAAUGUUUUGCUUUCUUUUUAUGAACGAAUAACUGACAUUUUGUCCUAAUUCUUUCUCUGAAUUCUGGGAGUUAUAUGCCAUCUGAAGAGUGAUUCCUCUACCCCCUACCCUUGGAAACACAAGUAACUCCUUUUCAUUUUUUGAAAUUAGUCUUCCCAAAUAUCCAGGUGUUGUGUCUGAAGAGCCAAGAAGAGCAGAUGUGGGGAAAAAGAAACUGGAGAGCAACAGAAAAUAUCAUAAAAUAGAUAUCUGCCACUCAAAACCAUACGUUUCUCAUAUCUACUUUUGUCUGCUUGCAGAUAGUUCAGGAACCAUGCUACCUGUUCUCUAACUGAACCAAGAACCAGACCCUGGAGCAGGACUGUGCUGGUACUGGUUGGCUGCAGGUCCACUGGAGUCCUAGCGUUGAGAGAGACCCUAAUAGAACAUACUGUUUCAACAACAUGGCUUGUGUCAUCAUGAGAACAACUGCAAAAGGUUAUCCAGAUCGUAUGAUAGCCAGCCAAAGAAAUGAUGCUGUGAAACCGUAUUGUAUUGAGAAUAACUUCUAAAUACCUUCUAAGAGAAGGUUAGAUACUUCAGUUCUUACUCAAUUUGUCCUUCCUGACGUGAGGAACAUUUUCAUCUAGGAAAAGAGGAGAGAAAAGCAGGAAAAUACGAAGUCUGAAAGAACUGCAUAUUUAGAAAUAUUUCAGCUACGUGUAUAUAUCUUUUUCAUAUUUUCUCCUUGCAAUAUUACUGACCCACAAGUAAUAACAGUAUUCUCACACUGACUGUUAUACCUGCUCUACUGAUACUUCCUGCUGUCAGCAGGCUAUUCAUUUUCUGGACAUGCCUUCAGACUACCAGUAAUGUGACUCAUCAGAGUAACAUUCUUGGAAGUAUAUUUUUCAUGUCUUUUUGUGUGAGUGGGAUGAAAUUGCAGAAAAUUCACAAGUACAGGAUGUGUUUUUCUGGCUAAAGACAGUAGUAUUUUAUUCUGGUAAAAUAAUGAUUAGCAUAACCUAGUCAUAUAAACUUAGCAUACACCACUUUUGAGUCUUCCAUGACAGGUGUUACAGGGGCUCUACGUAUUCUUUAUUUCCUGCCACAAAAUAUAAGACCUGAAGUGUUAGUUCCUGUUUAUGGUCGAGAAAUGCACACGCAUAUAUAGGAAGGUAAGCUUAACCCUAGUUCAUUCCUCAGAGCAGACACAGUAUGCUAGAGGCAUGGACAAAACUAACCAGAUGCUGCAAGCAUAUGAUUCUUCCAUGAGAGUUUAUAUGGUACAGCUGUCUUUAAAUGUUUUUAUAAUUGAAAAGGCUCUAGCAUCUGGUCCUUUGCUUAUUACUCUUAGAUCAAAUAGUCAUGAUCUCAUGUCUACUUUUUUAAUAAUGCAGAAAAAGAAGAGCUUGAGGCAUGGAGACCAUGCUUUGAAAUGGUCUGCUUCAGAGUAUUUGUAAAAAUAAAAGUAAACUGCGUAAAUAAAAAAAGCAAAAAACUGCAGUACAGAACAGUAUGAAUUAUGCAAACAUACAAACAGCUUUAUCAAUUUAAAUAUAUGUAGAUAAAUUAACUUUUUGAUACAAGGGGUAUGUACUUUUGAUAUCUUCCAUUUAUAUGAGGUUUACAUUGCUUUCCCCUUUAUGUUACUAUGCAAUGAUCUAUUUAAACUCCACCUCCAACAAUUGCCAUCCUCCUGCUAUUACGAACCAAACAGGAUAUAGACUAUGGUAUGCCCUAUAGAAAUCAUCACUCCGCACCAGUUUUUCCUCUGGUAACACUAGUAUAGUUUCAACUGAUUUCAGUUAAUCCUGAUAUUACCACUGAAAAAAAAGGUAGGCUUUUCCACACUCACCUACUCCAGUUUUAUGGAUGAACACUAUUACAGAAGAGCAAAGUGGUAAUAUUGUUUUUUUUUAGGCAAACCCCCUUUGAAGUCCAUUAUUAAUAAGUAAGAAUGAGAGUCAUUUUUUUAAUUAUUGUUUUGUAUGCCUACAUAAAGUCCGCAAUAUUGAGUGAUUUAAUCCUCUGUGAAGGGACCUUCCAAGCAGUGGGUAAUCAGACAUAUUACAUGAAUCGAACUAGGCUGAGUCAAGGAUAGAAUUUCAUUAUUUGUCUGUGUAAGGCUGACAAACUAUUUUAGAACAAGAUUUAGUGUAUAAAUGUAUUUCUGUAAAGUUAGCUAGCUUCCCAAACAUGUCCCAAGCUUUUCAUAUCAUGAUUGGAUGCUAUAAGGCAAGGCCUUAAUUAUUCUGAUUGAAAAAAGUAGUUUCAGAGCUGUUAUUUUCUUGAGAGGCUGAAAUAGCCUAAAAAGAAAAUCAAAAAUAAGAGUGGCUGUAGUUCAUCCAAACUCUUCAAAGAGCACUUUAUGUGAUUUAAAUCUAGGCUAGUGUUAGCUAAAAAAUGUUUGGGAGUCAUGUAAUAAUGUGUUUAUUUUCUUAAUAAGAGAGAUCUUGCUACUACAUGGCAUGGAUCUACGUGUUUUAUUUUAGCAAGAUGAAGACAGUAGUUUCGGUAGAGGAACUAGGACUUCAUUCGUUAUUUUAAAAUGCAUUAAUUUAAUCACACAAGUGAACAAACACAAAGUUGUGGGUAAAUCAACAAUUUAUUUAACUAUUUUUGAAACAGUCAGGUAGACUAAUUUUGACCUUCAAGAAUGUAAGAAUUACAUUUUGAUUUUGAUAGAAUUCCUAGUAGAGCUAAAACAUGUCUUUCUAUCUGGAGGCUUCUGGUUAGAAAUUGUAAAGAGAGAGAGAGAGAGAGAGUGUGUGUGUGUGUGUGUGUGUGUGUGUGUGUAUUAUUACGUUUUUUGACGUAUACAACAAAGAAAUGGUUCACUGAUAUUAGCAAAUGUGAGUUUAUGCCGCAGAAAGUAGAGUACCAACAGGUGUUCAGGAAAUGCUUGCAAUUCUGGCAAUCAGUUCUAAAGUAACCUCUAUAAAUGUAUAUUUCUUCCAAGAUCAACCGAAAAGUAAGUUACUUUUUGCCAUCAUAAUUAGCCUUCCAUUUACAGGUCAUCUUAUAGUGAAGAAAUCCCCUUACGGAAAAAAUGAAAAGAUGUCUCCUUUUGUACUGUCAAUAAUGAAAGAAAGUUUUUGCAUCACCUAUGGAUGGUAGCUAGGAAGGUGUAUUGAUAGAUGCACACUUUUUAUGCUUGGAAAGUCAGUGUUUAGCUUUGGUUGAAGACUCUGCCUGGGAAGUACAAUAAAUACACAUCAGUACUUCGAUAGUACUUGAUAGAUCGAUUUCACUGUGCGCUAGAGUUUUUCCUAUUUAUUUGUUAAAUUGUUUCAAUUCUCGUUUCAUAGCUUAAGUAAUAUGAGCAAGUAUCAUAAUUCAGUAUGAUAUGAGUAUCAUACUGUAUGUUUAGUAUGUCAGGUGACUGUAUCAUAUAAAAACUUGCUUCCUCAGCCAAGGAUAUCUGUAUUGUACAGAAAUCUUUUUAACGAAUACUUCACAUUUCUGUUGCUUUCUCAAGAUUAUUCUUUUUGUAGGUCUCUUGUCUAUGCAAUAUGUUCCCUAAGGUUAAGAAUGAAAGAGGUCUAUGCUACAGACGUACUUGAUUGAAAUAGCAGCUAAAUUGCUGCAGUAAUGAGAAAAUAUCUUUCCCCCUGGAUAAUUCAGCUGCUUAGCACUGAAAUAUUUUUGAGAUAAAGAUUUUUAGAGAACCAAAAAACUACAGAUCAUUUCUUUACAGUCAGAAUUUGCUAACAAGGCUUCUAUGGAAACAAAGAGCAAAACUCUUGUUAUAUUAAUGGAAGGCAGAUCAGUCCAUAAAAUGAGACUUAUGCUCUUAAAUAAAGAGAGACUGUGUUUUAUAGAUAUUCUGAUGUGCAGUUGCUUUAGAAAACGCUGCUGCUUUUCUGGAAAAAUGUGGUUAAAAACACAUGAUGAUGAAGUUAACCUAAAUCUUUCAUUGGCUUACAAAAAUAGGUCAAGUAAUACAUUGCUAGCUCUGCUGUAAGCCUGUACACAAUCCGUACGUUCCAAAGUACAAGAGAUUUUGCUUAACAGUCCUACCUCUGCUUUCAUUCAUGAUACCUGUGGGUUAAAAUAUUUAGCUUUCCGCAAGUGUGACUCCCUUUUGUUUUCUUCAAAGUUGAAAUUUAUCUCCUCUGUAGUUAUGUUAGUCUUUUACUAAAAAGAUGUUUGAAUAUAUCAUUUGUAAUUAUCCUGGGUUUUCGAACCGAGAUAUUAGCAUGUUAAUGCAGAUAUUAUUGCACAGUUUAUAAGCUAUUUAUAAAGGAAUUUUUCUCCUCUGUCAACGUUUAAAUUCCAGAAAAAAGUAUCAUUAAGUGUUCUGUAAAGCAUUUGUCAAAUGAUUUGCAAGGUGUGGGGUUUCUUUAAACACGGACACUGCAUAUGCGUGUGCACAGAAUGUGACUAAGGUCACACGCUUUUUGUGGCUUGGCACAUUCAGACAAAGUCGGUGCAGAUCUGGACUCUUCAGCUCUGUUCUUUAAUGGGAAUGAAGUAUAAAGAAAGUCUAGGCAUAAAAUGCAAUUUAUCAGAACAGAGGUUGUCUUUAUAUUUGGUGUGGAUACCACCUACCAAAAUGGAGGAGUGAUGCUUCUCGGAGGCUCUGUCCGAGGCUGAACUUCCCCGCAAACUCUUUGUAUUUACUGGUGGCAAAUUACAAAUUACGUGGGGCAAAUAACAUCGCUUUGAUGUGACACUUUGGCCCCGCUUCUCGAAAUUCUUCCAUGUGGGCAGCCGUUUACUUCUGUCCGACGCCCCUCUGCAGCCAGAGGGGUGUCACACCUGACCACGGAGGGGGAAGGGAGCGGCAGGGCGCCCUGACUGAAC